CCCCCCUUUCUAUCUCACUCUCUCUCUCCACAAUUCUCUUCAACAAACCCUGACCCCGGCAACCGAAAAGCAAAACUAACUCUGCCUUAGAUCCCUUCCCAUCCUCUCUCUCUCAAUUCCAUCUACUUUUUUUCAAUAACGAUGUGUCGUCCUCCGAUUCCCUUCUAGAUCCCUAUUCACUCUCUGUUGAAUUCACAAUCCCCAAUUUUCUAGGGUUUCAAUUUUCAAUCUCAAGAGGAGAAUGGUGAAGCGGAAGGCGUCAUGGCGGAGGAGGAUGUUCUCCUCACCAUCACUGACCCCAAUCCAAGCGGUCGUCAUCCUCUCUGUCGAUGUAACCUGGGUUCCCAAUGUCGCUAAUCCUUCAAAAGCUUCAAGGUAGGCGUACGACUCCUUGGGGAUAGAGGGAACAAGGGCUUACAACUGCUGGGCUCUUCAACUCCUGUUUCUGGUUAGUUUGGAACUCUCGAGACCUCGACCCAUUUUGUUCAACCCAAGCCUGGGACGGAGACCGAACUUCCUCUUCCAAUUUCGGCCACCUCUGAUCAACGGACCACUGGCAUUAGGACCAUCUCGCGAUGCCUAUAGCUUGGGUUUCCACCAACGAGCUCCAACGAAGCCAAUUCGAAGCUGAGAAAUUUCUACGGCUCCAGCUGCUCCUCUGCAUUUUCCGGCGACUUCGGUAGCCGAUGACGACAUGCAAGGUAAGGAAAUUAGUCUUCUCUUCGAGCUCUACGUCUGGUAUAUUUAGUUUUUGAUUUUGGUUGAGUUCUGAACGAAUUGAUAUAUUUGGUGUCAUUGGGCUUCGUCGGAGUUCACUACUCGCAGCGGGUGUCUCCUGUUCUUACCGGUUAAAGAAGAAACUUGAACCUCUACAGUUUAAUUGAAAGAGUCAUAUAUGGAGAAACGAUUGAGACUACUUCGAGUCAAGGUAAACCAUUCUUGGCAUAUUCUUGUGAUUUUGAAGUUGGGUUGUCAAUCUAAACCUAACUGCCAUGUUGUAAAUUGAAUGGUUGAGUUUGGAGGAAAACGCAGAAAUACGAAGGGAAUGGGACCCAGAAGCUAGAGGAUGAAGAGAAGUGGGAACCUAUAUUUUUAGGCUCUGCUCGUGGAUUAUUAAUGAAGAUUUCACAUGAAAGGUUGCUGCAGGUUGUUACAUACUCCAAAACCCAAAUUGGGUUUUAGACAGAAAACUGAAUAUAAAAGUUUCUAGGUAUAUCUUGAGUCAUUGAUUACCAGAUUUUCACCAUGGGGGGAGCUUGUUCUAGGAAGAGAAACCAUCGAGAUGAUGAAGAUAAUUUUCCUAGAGGGAUUUCCAGAAGAUAUUAAAAAAGUGGGAGUUCAAAGUGCUUGGCAACCUCCUUCUCUCGACCUGCUAUAGAUAUUCAACAUGAAAAAGGGCAAUGCCCAUCCCUCAUGGACUUCUACGUACGGCAAAUAUGUGAGCGUGCAAGUGCCAAGGAACUGCUAAAGCACUGCUUUAUUAGGACUGCUAGGAAGAGUCCAAGACUUG